rnacentral:lncRNA from 1 species
CCCACCCCUGUCUGGCUGCCAGCCUCAGCAUUCAGCUUGUAGGAGGCUGACAAGCCUCGAUCAGAAAAACAGC